GUUCAGUUUGUAGACCUACAAAAAAAGAGAGCCCUAUGAACAGAUAAUUGUUGAUGCGGAUGUUUAGGAGUUGUACGUUAAAUGCGCGUUGCAUCUUGGGAAUCGUAGUAACAUGGAGGUGCCGUUUGUCACGCAUGACUUUAUACAUGGCGAAGCUUUAAAACGUGAAUUUCGAUUGUCUUUGAUUUUAUUAUCAUAUUAGAUUGACGAAUACAAGGUCAUAAAGACGUGCAACGCUUCGGGGAAACACGGUAAGCUAUGUCUCUGUUGAGAGGGUUGCUGAAGGCUUGCCAUUCCACACAACCAGACAGUUAAGCACUGGUGUGUGCUGUCCAGUCCAUAUGAAUGCUAUUCCUGAGCUGAAGAAGGUGGACUGAGAAGAGGAGCAUGUUUGGGGUUUAUGACAACAUAGGAAUUUUAGGGUUUCCGUGGCAACGAGCUGCAGCGUCUGACGAGGAAGAAGAGGAUGGUAGGAUGAUGACACAGGACAAACACGAUAUGGAGAAGAGGAUCCGCUUCCUCUAUCGACACUUCAAGCGCUUUGGGAAACAUCGCUGAUCUGAUCUGGGACUGAGCGGUCUGGCUAACAAUGCUAAACGACUACUGUACUAACACCUGCCCACUGGACCACAUUCAGACUCUAAAGAGAGAAAUGUGAGCUACUCCGUUAUGCCACUUAGAUUUAUAUCAGCCCCUUAUACCAUUUGGUAGCCACCUUUUCUUAUAUCCAUAUUGGGGUAAGAGGAAGCUGAUUGCAAUUUGUUUUUUACUUUUGACAGCUGGAAAAUGUUGGAUUAAUUUAGUAUUGUUGUGAGCACUAAAUCAACACUCAACUGUAAAAUACAUCUUUUGAACCAUUAUGAACUCCUAGAAGUGGAAAUAUACACAAAUGUUUGAUGCUCUAUGGUCUGUAAAUGUUAUCACAUUGGGGACUAAUGUAAGUAAUGUUGUGGGUAUGAUAAUAAACAGAAGCUUGUCAUUA